rnacentral:rRNA from 1 species
AUUGAACGCUGGCGGCAGGCUUAACACAUGCAAGUCGAGCGAGUGGCGGACGGGUGAGUAAUUUCUGGGAAACUGCCUGAUGGAGGGGGAUAACUACUGGAAACGGUAGCUAAUCCCGCAUACCAUCAUAUGUUCCCAGAUGGGAUUAGCUAGUAGGUGGGGUAAUGGCUCACCUAGGCGACGAUCCCUAGCUGGUCUGAGAGGAUGACCGGCCAGACUGGAACUGGGACACGGUCCAGACUCCUAAGUGAGGCAGCAGUGGGGAAGAUUGCACAAUGGGCGCAAGCCGGAUGCAGCCAUGCCGGGUGUGUGAAGAAGGCCUUCGGGUUGUAAAGCACUUUCAGCGAGGAGGCGUUACUCGCAGAAGAAGCACCGGCUAACUCCGUGCCAGCAGCCGCGGUAAUAC